AUUGAAUGCUAGCGGCAUGCCUUACACAUGCAAGUCGAACGGAUUGGCGAACGGGUGAGUAAUGUAUCGGAACGUGCCCAGUAGCGGGGGAUAACUACGCGAAAGCGUAGCUAAUACCGCAUACUCUUGGAGCCGCAGAUAUCGGCUUGGCUUGUUGGUGGGGUAACGGUUCACCAAGGCGACGAUCCGUAGCUGGUUUUAGAGGACGACCAGCCACACUGGGACUGAGACACGGCCCAGACUCCUACGGGAGGCAGCAGUGGGGAAUUUUGGACAAUGGGGGAAAGCCUGAUCCAGCCAUCCCGCGUGUGUGAUGAAGGCCUUCGGGUUGUAAAGCACUUUGAGCAGGAAAGCGGUACCUGCAGAAUAAGCACCGGCUAACUACGUGCCAGCAGCCGCGGUAAUUC
rnacentral:rRNA from 1 species